rnacentral:rRNA from 1 species
UGAAGAGUUUGAUCAUGGCUCAGAUUGAACGCUGGCGGCAGGCCUAACACAUGCAAGUCGAACGGUAACAGGAAGCAGCUUGCUGCUUCGCUGACGAGUGGCGGACGGGUGAGUAAUGUCUGGGAAACUGCCUGAUGGAGGGGGAUAACUACUGGAAACGGUGGCUAAUACCGCAUAACGUCGCAAGACCAAAGAGGGGGACCUUCGGGCCUCUUGCCAUCAGAUGUGCCCAGAUGGGAUUAGCUUGUUGGUGAGGUAACGGCUCACCAAGGCGACGAUCCCUAGCUGGUCUGAGAGGAUGACCAGCCACACUGGAACUGAGACACGGUCCAGACUCCUACGGGAGGCAGCAGUGGGGAAUAUUGCACAAUGGGCGCAAGCCUGAUGCAGCCAUGCCGCGUGUAUGAAGAAGGCCUUCGGGUUGUAAAGUACUUUCAGCGGGGAGGAAGGUGUUGUGGUUAAUAACCGCAGCAAUUGACGUUACCCGCAGAAGAAGCACCGGCUAACUCCGUGCCAGCAGCCGCGGUAAUACGGAGGGUGCAAGCGUUAAUCGGAAUUACUGGGCGUAAAGCGCACGCAGGCGGUCUGUCAAGUCGGAUGUGAAAUCCCCGGGCUCAACCUGGGAACUGCAUUCGAAACUGGCAGGCUUGAGUC